CGAGGGGGAGUUCAAGCUGCCGGGCGACUUCAACUUCAUCUUCAUCUGCAGAUCAGGCGCGUACGAUUCGCUUGAUUCGGGUGGGAACAUUACAAUCAAGUGGGCACUGGAAUGAUCAUGUGAUGCACUGUUUGAAGUUAAGACUAAUUCAGUUCAGUCUGUUUGAAGCUAAGACAAAUUUCCUUGGCAUUUCACUAGAUGUGGUGUUAAUGGCCUGAAGAUUUUAUCAGAUUAUCCACCAUUCAUCCUGCAACCGGACUGGCAAAUACUGUUGAAUAUGUUCAGAAGCAGAAAUUGGAACAAAGGAAAACAUCA